rnacentral:rRNA from 1 species
UACGGAGGGUGCAAGCGUUAUCCGGAUUCACUGGGUUUAAAGGGUGCGUAGGUGGGCUGGUAAGUCAGUGGUGAAAUCUCCAGGCUUAACUUGGAAACUGCCAUUGAUACUAUCAGUCUUGAAUACCGUGGAGGUCAGCGGAAUAUGUCAUGUAGCGGUGAAAUGCUUAGGUAUGACAUAGAACACCAAUUGCGAAGGCAGCUGGCUACACGAAUAUUGACACUGAUGCACGAAAGCGUGGGGAUCAAACAGG